CAGCAUUUAAAGUAGUGCCAUAUAGAUUUGAUACUAUUUUUGAAGUUCUUUGUUUGGUGUUUACGUGUCUCAUGCCUUUGCUCCAUUAUAUCAGUAAUCAUGAAAGGUGAGCAUUAUGUUAUACAGAGCAAAUUCUUUGCCUAUAUUAUCCAAAUUUUUUGAUCUCAUGAGUUUGGGAUCCUCCAUUUACAAGCACUGGUUUACUUGGCCGCUUUGAAGCUUAUAGAACGUGCACUUCUAUUGCCCCGAAGUCUGUCAUGGAAGAGUCGAAGCAGAGAUUCUGAUGAAGUUUCUCCCCUCCACCUUUACCAUAUUUUGGUACGUCUACUUUAGAGACUAAUUAGGGACUUUUUAAACCCAAUCAAUAGUUGUCAGGAUGAAUCACACGUGGGAGAUAUACAUGAAGUCACUGAGCAGGCUUAAAUCCCUUACUUUGCCAUUCUUUUCAGAAUAGGAUGUUGCAGUUCUUUCGUCAAUGUGUCUAUGUUGCUGGUUGAAAUCUCUGGUUAUUUUACUUAGGUUUACCAUGUGCACGACAAUUUGAUUUUGUUGUCUCGUCUGUUGCCAAGGAAGGUCAUUGCUUUUACAUUUGGGAAAUAUUUUGUCUAAGUACCCCAUGCAAAAAGUUCUUUUAGAUCUGUGUGGAUAAAAGAACGGGAUGCAAACGCUUGCUAAUUCGAGGUGUAUGAAUAGUGGCCUUGGUAGAUUUGCAGCAGAUUAUGAUUUUAGUGGAUUUGGGAUGAGGCAAUUAAAGGAGUGUGAUGAGACAGUGCUUGUGGAGAUUUACAAGUCCAUGGUUGUGGUUGUGGCGCAGGGACAGUUUGUUCCUCGCGAUGUUGUUGCUUUUUCAAAUUUGGCUCUGCGAUUAUGCACCACGGUAAUUAAUCCCACCAGAAAAAGGUUUAAAGCUGAAGGACCAAUGUCUUGCUUUGGUCAUUGGCCAAUAGGUCCUUGAGCUUUCCCUGCCUUUGGUGCUAGGAAGGCAUGCAGAUUGGGAUGAUAAUCUCAUAAAAUUUCAGAAAUUGAAAGAAAUCAGAAUCGAAGAUGUUGACACUGACCAUUCUCUUCAGGAUGUUGGUAUACUUUCAGAUUUCAGUUCAGGUGACAAAGAUUUCAAUUCAGGAUGUUGACUACAAUAGUACUGACGCUGCAAAAAAUAAAAGGUAUGAUACUUUUUCCAAACUUUAAGAAACAAAGCUAAUAAUCAACAUGUGUUUAUGUACAAUAUAUUUCACAACUCAUUUGAUCGAAAUGUUUAUCAAAGAAUUGACUGCAUUCUUUUGAUAUCAACUGAUUGAGGAUUUUAAACUUUCUCGCCUUUAUCAGUUGUAGAAAUCUAAAUAGUGACAUAAGAAAUAAGGCGCAUUUCCUCUCAGUAAGUUUUUGUUGUCAUAUAGCAUCUUCCUUCGAUAUUUGAAUUUUCUAAAUAUCUUUUAGCCUUCCUAUCUUUCUGCAUUUUGAAUGAAGGGAAAGAAAUGAAAAGAAAAAAAAUGAAGAUGCAUGUUAAAGUCUUAAUUUUUGAUAAAAUUCUUUUCCUCUGAAUUCUUCAAAAUAAUUACUUUCAUAAACGAGAACUUGCAACUGUCUUAUCUAUGUAUGAUUUUGUUUCCAGCUUUGAUCUUCUUUAGAGAAGAAAAACGGGAAUCGUAAUUUUAAAAACUAAUAGACAUCUCUCUGGAUAUUCUCUACCAUCUCUGCUAAGCCAAAGUAAUUUUAUCUUUUUUAAAGCUAUCUUUCCUUUCAAUCAUUUGUUUAUUUAAAAAGUAUUUUAGACAUCGGAUUUAACAUUUCUACAAUUUCAACUUUUGACUUCCUUCUUAAUUGAUCAACUAAUAUAUUAUGCGGUAAGUUAAUGACCGUGCGAAGCGCGGGUAAAUUACCUAGUAUAUAUAUAAUCUAAAGCUAGGAAUAGAUAAGGUAACGUGACAUCUCUCUAUGGUCACCAUUCAUAUUUAAAUUUUUAUCAUUUUUUUGCAUUAUCCACACAUACCCAAAAUUAAUGGGGAAAUUAAAGAAUAUGUUAGCGGAGAGUCCAAAAGUCACUACUAGAAGUUAUAACCAUUACUGUUACUAAGAGUCCAAAAGUCCCAGACAUAUAUAUAAUGCUUACAUAGUCUUAUUUGAUCAGGUAAAGAUUGAUUCUGGCACAAUUCCCCCCCCCCCCCCCCCCCCCCCCCCCUAUAUGGUUGUGGUAGGUGUAGUGGCAUUGUUUUGCAUUUUCACAGGAUGGUAAAAUCCUAGACUCUCUUGCUUUGGUCUGAUGAAGAACAGUAGGGGAAGAUUUUGGUGUUGUAAUGCUUGUGGGAUUUUAAUAAAUUUAUAUUUGUAUCAUAUAGAUGUUUUCAUAGAUAGAUAAAAAUGCAAUUUAUCUUUAUCAUGUCUUUUUAAUAUUAUUUUUUUGCAUUUUAUCUCUAUUUUCUUGGUUACACUUUAGAUGCAGAUGACAUUUCUGGUUAGUCUAUCCUCUUCCUUCUACGCUUCUCUCUGUUCCUUACACUUUGUCUAAUCAAUUUGAUUGUUGCUAAUGGGGCUUCAGUGGGUAUUUGUUCGUUGUAAUGUUCUGUUGAGAAGGGUUUUUUUCCAAUUGAAUUAUCUACAUAUAAGUAAUUUUAUCUUAUUUGCUCAUGUAUAUUUUGUUUUUAACCAAUUUUACAUACAUCACCGGUCACCGCAUUAUUUUUAUACUGGGAUCACUUUUCUUCAAAAUUAUUACUACUUUUUAAUUGGUUAUGAGAUCCCUAUUAAACUAAAUAGUCCGUCACUAAAUUUGAUUGAUUUUUUCUUGGAAGAUUAGCUUAGUCAAAGUAUUUUAAAAAGUUCUGAGAAAAUUGGAAUUAAAGAAAAAAUUGUUUGACUUCACCAACAGUAAUACCUUCACAUAAAAUGACAUUGGAGGAGUAUUUUAGUCUAAAUGUGCAGAUUAAUAGCUAUAUAUAGGCAUGAGAUCGAGGCGGUUACAGAUCCCAGCCAACCGGGGAGAGCCACGUGUCCCAUAAUUAAUGAGAAGUGACUUGAAACGACGUGCGUUACGGCGGUUGUCAGAGCUGACUGCCCGGGAUGAGACACGUGGCUGAUGACAGACGGGACGUGACACAACUGUUCCCGCCAAAAUGAAAAGAUAAGAACGAGCAUUCGGAACCACCGGUUUUUGAUUCAUCCAUUUCGCGUUACUCCGAUAAAACUAUGGUCCGGGAAGUGUGGGGACUAUCUGUAUACGAUAAAAAUCGGAUAUAUGUUAAACCGGUAAGACCGGAGACCGAGGGAAGAAAGGGAUAAGCACGUGCACGAAGAUUUUCUUUCUGGACCGGAGGAGUGCUUGAAUCGAAGAAAGGAAGGGCAUCAUUUGGUCCGGCUUCUCCAUAGCCGAGUUGAUCUUGGCCGUUGGUCCGUUUGAUCGUGGCCGUUGGUCCGGGUGAUCCGUUACGCAAUUGCCACGCGCCAAUACCGUUCUGUCACAUUGUGCUGCCAAUCGUACGGGUGUCAGACCGUACGACCAACCUUAUCCAUUUUAGGGUUAUUCUUUAUUCUUUAGGGCCUUAUGUUAUAUGAAGCUUACAAGGCAAAACUAUAAAUAGGAGUCAUUACCCUACUUUUAGGGGUUGACUUCUCAGAUCUAGUACAUAUUGUAAUAGAAAAAUAUACAACAUUCUACUACUUAUUAUUUGAUUUUGGUCCGAAUUUA